AUGGCGCUGGCUAUCCUGGCGAGGCGGAGGGCGGCGGAGGCGGUGGCGCGGCGGGCGCACGCCCCCGGGGCGGCGGCGCUGUCCGCGUGGAGGGCGUACGCGGCGGCGGCGGCGGCGGAGGAGAGCGACGUCGUGGUGGUCGGCGGCGGGCCGGGAGGGUACGUGGCGGCCAUCAAGGCGGCCCAGCUGGGGCUCAAGACCACCUGCAUCGAGAAGAGGGGCACCCUCGGCGGCACCUGCCUCAACGUCGGAUGCAUCCCCUCCAAGGCUCUGUUGCACUCUUCUCAUAUGUACCAUGAAGCAAAGACUUCUUUUGCACACCAUGGAGUGAAAAUCUCUAAUCUGGAAGUGGAUCUCCCAGCCAUGAUGGCGCAGAAAGACAAGGCCGUGGCCGGGUUAACAAAAGGAAUCGAAGGCCUCUUUAAGAAGAACAAAGUGACAUAUGUCAAAGGCUUUGGGAAACUUACUUCCCCUUCAGAAGUUUCGGUUGAUUUGGUCGAUGGUGGUAACACUGUUGUCAAAGGAAAAAACAUAAUCAUUGCCACUGGAUCUGAUGUAAAAUCACUUCCUGGGAUUACAAUUGACGAGAAGAAGAUUGUCUCAUCCACUGGCGCCCUGUGCUUGUCAGGUAUCCCAAAGAAAAUGGUUGUCAUUGGAGCUGGUUACAUUGGCCUGGAAAUGGGUUCAGUCUGGAACCGUCUUGGGACAGAGGUCACUGUUGUUGAAUUUGCUCCAGACAUAGUCCCAUCAAUGGAUGGUGAAAUCAGGAAGCAGUUCCAGCGCAUGUUGCAGAAGCAGAAAAUGAAGUUUAUGCUCAAGACAAAGGUGGUCGGAGUUGAUACCUCUGGAGACGGGGUGAAGCUAACACUUGAGCCUGCAGCUGGAGGUGAGCAGAGCAUCCUUGAAGCAGACAUCGUUCUCGUCUCUGCUGGAAGGACCCCAUAUACCGCCGGGCUCGGGCUGGAUGCCAUUGGGGUUGAGAUGGACAAGGCUGGCAGGAUCCUCGUCGAUAAGCGGUUCAUGACCAAUGUGAGUGGAGUGUAUGCGAUCGGCGAUGCCAUCCCUGGGCCCAUGCUUGCCCACAAAGCUGAGGAGGAUGGUGUGGCAUGUGUCGAGUUCCUUGCUGGCAAGGAAGGUCACGUUGACUAUGAUUUGGUGCCUGGUGUGGUCUACACACAUCCGGAGGUGGCAUCUGUCGGGAAGACGGAGGAGCAGGUGAAGGCCUCAGGAAUUGCCUACCGAGUCGGCAAAUUCCCGCUCAUGGCAAACAGCCGUGCGAAGGCUAUUGAUGAUGCCGAGGGGAUGGUUAAGGUCGUGGCUGACAAGGAAACUGACAAGAUUCUUGGUGUGCACAUAAUGGCGCAGAAUGCUGGAGAGAUCAUCCAUGAAGCUGUGCUUGCCCUGCAGUAUGGAGCAUCCAGCGAGGAUGUUGCCCGAAUAUGCCAUGCACAUCCCACUGUGAGUGAGGCCCUCAAGGAGGCUUGCUUGCAAACCCAUUCUAAGGCCAUCCACAUAUGA
rnacentral:rRNA from 1 species